rnacentral:rRNA from 1 species
GACGAACGCUGGCGGCGUGCCUAAUACAUGCAAGUUGAGCGCUGAAGGAUGGUACUUGUACCAACUGGAUGAGCAGCGAACGGGUGAGUAACGCGUGGGGAAUCUGCCUUUGAGCGGGGGACAACAUUUGGAAACGAAUGCUAAUACCGCAUAAAAACUUUAAACACAAGUUUUAAGUUUGAAAGAUGCAAUUGCAUCACUCAAAGAUGAUCCCGCGUUUUAUUAGCUAGUUGGUGAGGUAAAGGCUCACCAAGGCGAUGAUACAUAGCCGACCUGAGAGGGUGAUCGGCCACAUUGGGACUGAGACACGGCCCAAACUCCUACGGGAGGCAGCAGUAGGGAAUCUUCGGCAAUGGACGAAAGUCUGACCGAGCAACGCCGCGUGAGUGAAGAAGGUUUUCGGAUCGUAAAACUCUGUUGGUAGAGAAGAAAGUUGGUGAGAGUGGAAAGCUCAUCAAGUGACGGUAACUACCCAGAAAGGGACGGCUAACUACGUG